UACGGAGGGUGCUAGCGUUGUUCGGAAUUACUGGGCGUAAAGGGCGCGUAGGCGGCCGUUUGCGUCGGAUGUGAAAGCCCGGGGCUCAACCUCGGAACGGCAUCCGAUACGGGGCGGCUGGAGACCGGGAGAGGAGGGUGGAAUAGCCAGUGUAGAGGUGAAAUUCGUAGAUAUUGGCUGGAACACCGGUGGCGAAAGCGGCUCUCUGGCCCGGAUCUGACGCUGAGGCGCGAAAGCGUGGGGAGCAAACAGG
rnacentral:rRNA from 1 species